GACGGACGCUGGAGGCGUGCUUAACACAUGCAAGUCGAACGAUGAAAUGGAGCUUGCUCCAUGGAUUAGUGGCGAACGGGUGAGUAACACGUGAAUAACCUGCCCUUAAUUUUGGAAUAACCCAGGGAAACCUGGGCUAAUACCGGAUAAGUAAACCUGUGGCAUCACAUGGUUUUGGAAAGUUUUUCGAUUAAGGAUGGAUUCGCGGCCUAUCAGCUUGUUGGUGAGGUAAUGGCUCACCAAGGCGACGACGGGUAGCCGGCCUGAGAGGGUGAACGGCCACACUGGGACUGAGACACGGCCCAGACUCCUACGGGAGGCAGCAGUGGGGAAUAUUGCGCAAUGGACGAAAGUCUGACGCAGCGACGCCUCGUGAGGGACGAAGGUCUUCGGAUUGUAAACCUCUUUCAGCAGGGACGAAGCGAAAGUGACGGUACCUGCAGAAGGAGCACCGGCUAACUAUGUGCCAGCCGCCGCAGUAA
rnacentral:rRNA from 1 species